rnacentral:misc_RNA from 1 species
GAUGAAGAACGUAGCGAAAUGCGAUAAGUAAUGUGAAUUGCAGAAUUCAGUGAAUCAUCGAAUCUUUGAACGCACAUUGCGCCCGCCAGUAUUCUGGCGGGCAUGCCUGUCCGAGCGUCAUUUCAACCCUCGAACCCCUCCGGGGGGUCGGCGUUGGGGAUCGGCCCUGCCUCUUGGCGGUGGCCGUCUCCGAAAUACAGUGGCGGUCUCGCCGCAGCCUCUCCUGCGCAGUAGUUUGCACACUCGCAUCGGGAGCGCGGCGCGUCCACAGCCGUUAAACACCCAACUUUCUUAGAGUUGACCUCGGAUCAGGUAGGAAUACCCGCUGAACUUAAGCAUAUCAAUAAGCGGAGGA